GAUGAAGAACGCAGCGAAAUGCGAUAAGUAGUGUGAAUUGCAGAAUUCAGUGAAUCAUCGAAUCUUUGAACGCACAUUGCGCCCCUUGGUAUUCCAUGGGGCAUGCCUGUUCGAGCGUCAUUUGUACCUUCAAGCUCUGCUUGGUGUUGGGUGUUUGUCUCGCCUCUGCGUGUAGACUCGCCUCAAAACAAUUGGCAGCCGGCGUAUUGAUUUCGGAGCGCAGUACAUCUCGCGCUUUGCACUCAUAACGACGACGUCCAAAAGUACAUUUUUACACUCUUGACCUCGGAUCAGGUAGGGAUACCCGCUGAACUUAAGCACAUCAAUAAGCGGAGGA
rnacentral:misc_RNA from 1 species